GUAUAUCUUCUAGGGACUCUCAUUGGGAGUCCAGCUCUUCAUCCCUCAGCGUCUCCUCUAAUUCCUUAUCCAAAUAUCGGUUAGAUCCCAUGGAACGGAUGAGUUGCAAACGGAGCUACCAGAUGAGGAGACCGAUCCCAUGGGGUGCCUUCAUCCAUCUCACCCCACAGUCUCCGUCACCUGACCGAUCUCCGUUGGCCAGCGUCACCGCCCUCGACAACUCCCCUGAUCCACCCCUAUCGUGGUCAUCGUCCUCGAAGCGUCGGUUUCCAAAAGAGGAGGACGAUCCCAUCGUGGUUCUUCAUCCCUCUCACGCCACCGUCUCCGCCACCUUAUGGAUCUCCGGUGGCCGGAGUCGCUGCCCUCAGCCGGCUGAUGAAUUAGCCCCAAACUCCCCGAGAAACACCUGUCGGGUCAUCGUCCUCGAAGCGUCGGUUCCCAGCGACUAACACGGAGGCUCCGCCCCCGCUGGCCCUGCUCCUGCCCCGAGAAGGGUCUCAGGGAGGAGAUGGUGAUUUAAGUUUUGUUCUCAGUUCCUAAUUAUAUGUCAGGUUCAGAAUUGGUAAGUUGUAAGAACUAUUUGUGCGUGUGGAAGAGAAGAGCUAUGGUCACUUUAGACAAACUUCUCUAGCAAAAAAAUUUGGCAGCACUAUGUCCAUGUAAUAUUUGCUUAGCUACUUGGUUAUGUUUGGUUCAUCAAUGCUAGGACCAAGGAGGAGCAUAUGAUACUUUAUUAUAUAUAAGAUGUGAGUUAAUGAUGAUUUCCUAUACUUCAAUUUUGUGGCAUCGCAUUGCUCAACUUACUGAUAGAUAAAUUAGUUUUCCUGAAGUGUAAUACUUGAGUCCUUGCGUCUUCAGUUAGUUCUCAACACGGAAUCCAUUAAAUCCAUUCAAGAGUUAUAGAUGCUUUUCUGUUUACAAUUUUUUAGUGGAAUUUCUUGUCCGUUUGAUUGCUAGAUUUUUUUUACUUUUUACAUGGUAUAUAUAAUAAUAAAUAAUUUUUUUAUUAGGUUAUGAUCAUGGCUCAUGUAUAUUUACAAAGUCCUUUCACAUUGUUUUCCUUGUCAAUGGUCCAAUAUAUUUACUUUGUAUAAGGUGCACCGAAGGGUCGUUUGAAGGACCGAGGGACCAACAAGAGCUCAUGUAUAGUAGUUGUGGCAUGUAUUUUUUCUCAUGAUGUGUCUGUUGAAUUUUCAUUAUUCUCCCAGAUCGAUUAAUGUUUUUUUGUUGCUUAUUAUACCACAUAUUUUGUGUUGCAAUUAUAUUUCUUGUCGUUGAUCUAAUGACAUUAUACAUUUUAAUGCAGUUAAUCCAUUCACCAGGCUUUUACUGAUUUAGCUGGGACAUGCCCAUACAACUCUUGCCUUUGGAACGCUUAUGCUUAUUUUCCUCCCUCCAUGUUUUGUUUGCUGAAAAAAUGCAAUGUGGGUAUGGAGGUUGAGAGCUAUAAAUGUAAGAAAGAUUUAGCAAAAAAAUUCCAAUGCUCCUACCUAGAGCACUAUAGUUCCCAGUGGCGCUUGACUGGACUGAUAUUGCCCACCCCAUCUGGAUCCGGUUCUGACUAGAUAUGGGUAACAUUUUAAUAUAUGGUUGGAUUCAGAUAGGUCACUAAAGGUGCAAAACUUCCAUGAUAUGAUUCAUUAUAUAAAAUUACUUUUGAAAUGAGGGAUUCAAAUGUACACUUCAUACUCAACACGACAUUUUUAUACUGCUUGAUCAAAUUAAAUCAAGUUAAAGUUACUUAAAUUAAAUAAUAAAGUUUCGAUAAUUCCCAGAAGCUUUCUGACCCACCUUUUGCAACCUUACAUGAAGUACUUAUAUGAGGGAACAUUAUCUUCCUCGGGUAGUGCUUUGCUCUUCCGUGUUCUAUAAAUUGUGAGGUGUGCCUUGUUGGCCUUUUGAAAUUAUUUCCCCCUCUUAUUUUGCACUUGGGAUUCCUUCAUCUAUUGUUAGGUAUAUGCAUCAAACUGAAUGUAUCCUCUGUUCAUUUGCAGGAUGAUGAAAAUCUUACCAAAGAGCAUCAGAGUUGCAGGUGGUAGCCUGGUCGAAGCAUGCACACGUAGUGGACUAGGAUGGGAAGGAAGGAGUCCGGCGCCAAGGAGGAAGAGCAUCGGGGACGAAGGAGAACUACAACGUGGGGAAGGGAAGGGCUGGACUGGUCGGCGCUGUUACUACUUAUUGUUGGUGUAAAUUUCUUUGAUACUACUGAUCUCUACAGAGAAAUUGGGGAUGCAAAUUUAUCACAUGCACGCCCAUGUACAUCUGCUUGUCUCUUAUCGAAAAUUUGCUCGAUUUGUGCUGCGAGUUCA